AGCGUUAGUGCUACUGUCGCUUCUUUGGUAGCUAAAUAUCGACGUAGUUUUGACACCGAUAAUCUUUGCUGCAAUGAAAGACUGAAAACAUGUGCAUUUUUACAUUCGAGGAGAAAAAACGUUCCCCAGAAUGGGCAGACUAAAAGCUAACAAGCUAGCUAACCCUAGAUACAGCUCAUCCAGCAGUAUCAGCUAGCGUUAGCUAAGUUACCUCAGGUCAGAGAACACCAACGGGACAAAUAGGAACAAAGACUGGCAGUCUGAUGUUUUCAUUUGUCCUUAAAUAUUCAAAAAAGACCUGACAAGCAAAAUAAACUGUGGUGAACGGGGAGAGAACACUCUAGAAUCUUUAAACUACCAAGCAUGGACAUGGCACACAAGCUGAAUGUUUGUGUUUGCUGGUGUUUGUCCUGUCUGUGUACUCUGCACUGUACUCAAAUGGCCUGCUUGUUGUGUUGCGUUAUAAUGUGGGAGAGUUAAGGUUAGGGCAUAUACUCUCCAUUGUCAUUACAGAGGACAAGACAAUGUUUUUUAUGCUGAGAGAAAAAGUAGCUGAACUUAUUCCUAGCCUUGGAAUCUAUGAAAUUAAGGACAGUAUGAAUAAUAUUACAGGUCCAAAGCUAGAUGGUCUUGCAGAGUAUGUCCCUCACAAAUGUUUCCAUAGAGGUGCCAAAAUCUUUUUUCCACUUAAGCAUCGUUAUGUCGCUAUGGAUGCCAUCCAAGGUUUAAUCAGUGGAGCUCUGCCAUUGCUUGUGGGGAACCUCCUUGAUAAAGUGAUUGAAAGACUACAAGAAAUUGGUGUUUCCCAAAUCGAUGACCUAAAUUUGGUACAACCGAAGAUCUUGAAGGUGUCCUGAAGCCAAUACAGUGUCGCAGGCUGAUUAAAGCAUUCUCUGCCGUGCAGUUUUGAGAUUGUGAAACCAAGUAAACCUUGCAGAAGAGCGCUCUAAAAAGGCCAAGUGGUGAAAGACUUCAUUCGAACAAGAGAAGCAAGUGCUGGUGAAAAGAUGAACCAAGGACCUUUGGAAAUGCUAAGAUGCCUCACAAGUUACUUCAAGGAAGCAACUGUCCUGUUGGUUGCAGACAAGGAUGGCCAGAAAGAACUACCCAGCACUCCUUGCAUCAUUGUCAUUGGGUCUCCUGGGGAUCAACACUGAACGUGGCUCAAAAGCUGAAUCGAAGUGCAAGAAGCACUUCAAAAUCAAUCCUAAGCUUCUGAAAUUCCUGAAGGACCUCAGUGACUUUCAGAAUCCAUUCAAAAUUUAAAUGGACAAGGCAUUUGGAGCCCUCAGAUGCUGCACAAUGGACUCAUUUAACAAUUUGAAAUGAAGUGUUAGGAUGAGAAGUCCUAAGUUCUGUGGUGUUUACAACAUUUUUGUAAUGUUGAAUUGUUAAUGGAAAAAAAUACAUGUUUGUUUUGGACACAACACUUUAAAUAUGCAGGAGGUAGAGUUUUUAUAUGUAGGGCUUAUAAUACAUGCUGUUUUGAAUAACAGUCGUUGACCAGCAUUGUUCUCAUGCCAAAUUUGUUUCAGUAAAUUUAUUGCAUGAGAUAUAAGCACCCAGUAAGCUAUAUUAGCAGUAUAUAAAAAAGUGUUAAUACUAUUCUUGCUCCUACACAUUUUUUAAAUUUAACUGUUUUUUUUUUUGCUUUUCAUAAAGGAGCUACAAGUUACCAGAUCAAUAGACAUGCCUACUAUGUCCCUGUGCCCAU